GGCUAAAAAAUCCUAAUCUAAAGCUUUCACUGGCUGAAACUAUGCUUUCUCCAUCCUUAACAGAUUGAGUUAUAGUAAUGGUGUCAGCUGCAGUGGAUAUUCUUAUAAUAAGCAAUAAAUGGGAGCAAAGAAUAAGGAGCGUGAAGGAGACCUCCAUUGAUUUUUCUUAUGUAUCUUUGCAAUUUGAAUGGCAGGCUAACAUGUUAAAACAGCCAUUAGAAAAAGC
rnacentral:misc_RNA from 1 species